GACGAACGCUGGCGGCGUGCUUAACACAUGCAAGUCGAACGGAAAGGCCCUGCUUGCAGGGUACUCGAGUGGCGAACGGGUGAGUAACACGUGGGUGAUCUGCCCUGCACUUCGGGAUAAGCUUGGGAAACUGGGUCUAAUACCGGAUAGGACCGCACUUUAGUGUGUGUGGUGGAAAGUUUUUUCGGUGUAGGAUGAGCUCGCGGCCUAUCAGCUUGUUGGUGGGGUAAUGGCCUACCAAGGCGGCGACGGGUAGCCGGCCUGAGAGGGUGUACGGCCACAUUGGGACUGAGAUACGGCCCAGACUCCUACGGGAGGCAGCAGUGGGGAAUAUUGCACAAUGGGCGCAAGCCUGAUGCAGCGACGCCGCGGGGGGGAGGAAGGCCUUCGGGUUGUAAACUCCUUUCGCUAGGGACGAAGCUUUUUGUGACGGUACCUAGAUAAGAAGCACCGGCUAACUACGUG
rnacentral:rRNA from 1 species